rnacentral:rRNA from 1 species
UACAGGGGGGGUAAGCGUUGUUCGGAAUUACUGGGCGUAAAGGGCUCGUAGGCGGCCAACUAAGUCAUACGUGAAAUCCCUCAGCUUAACUGGGGAACUGCGUGUGAUACUGGAUGGCUUGGAUUUGGGAGAGGGAUGCGGAAUUCCAGGUGUAGCGGUGAAAUGCGUAGAUAUCUGGAGGAACACCGGUGGCGAAGGCGGCAUCCUGGACCAAUAUUGACGCUGAGGAGCGAAAGCUAGGGGAGCAAACGGG